rnacentral:lncRNA from 1 species
AUGCUGAGAAUGCUCAGUCGUAUUUCAGUGAAGGGCAUAUUCAGGCUUCAAGUGAUCUUCAUAGCUAUAUAGAGGUAUCCUCUGCUCAUGUAGACAAUACCACUUUGUAUUUAUCGUUUUUAUUUUUCAUGUCUCCCUGAUAUUUUAUUUGAUUCUAGCUACAGAACAAACUGGAAGGUGAAAGGGUUACUGGAGAGAACCUAUUUUUUUCGUAAGUGUACUACUGCCCUUGUAUGGGAAAUCAUGCAUAUUUAGUUCUUUAUUGCUGUUACAUAGAUAUCAUUUGAAAUUUGUUGAAGCUCAUAUUGUUGGUGCUUGUGAUUGCGUUUAGAAUGAGUUUUUGUUCCUUUGGUAAGAAACUGUGAUUGCGUUGUUCAGGAAGUAAAAAGUAUUAAUAUUAUUAUUUAUCACAUGCGACAUUAUUGAACUACAAUAGAUCCUAAAGAAAGCAGGAUACGCAGAAGCUCAUAAACAUCCAUUCCAAAAAAUUUAAAUAUUGAUUAUAUUAAAUUAAUUUCAGUAAUUGAAUUAAAAUCUAAUAGAACUACAUUUUGUUCUUAAAAAAGUAAUUAAUUUUGUCUAAAUAUUACUUUUGAAAUAAAAAAUAUUCCAAUCUAGCCGCAUUCCAUAUCCAAUCGUUAGUAGAUGAUAUUCUUCAUUCCUGCAAGAUUAAAUAAUUUUUUUUUUAAAUUAGUAUAUUAUAUAAGUAUGAAAUAAAUGAUUAGGAUAAAUUUUAGUAAAUCAAUAAAAUUACCUCUGGUUCUUUUUUUAUUGUCUUUUGCCUUUUGUUGUAUGUGUUGUCGUUAAGUGAGUCAAUGUCAACAAUUUCUCUCCGUGCUGUUUUUUUGGUUGAUGGUGUUCAAACCUUUUCUGUUUUCUUGUAUUUUGCAGCAAAUUUCAUUACUUCCGGGAUUUCUUCAACCUUAAUGACCGACAUUGAAGAGGUAUCUUUUGUUUUCAAGUUGUACUCUUUGAUUUUGAUAUGAAAAGUUGUUGUCUUUCCAAUUAAUUGAUCAAAUAAACUAUUAAUCUUUUUAUCUCCAUUUUCCUGUUAAUCGAAAAAAAGAUAUUUAAUAUUGCAAGAAGUAAUUGAAAAAAGAUAUAUUAUAAGUAGGAUAAUUUUUUAAAAAAGUAACUUACUUGUUGACUUAUAUCAAGCAUCUCAUAGACCGAGAGGUUGAAAAUAUUCUUUAUCACUUCAUCAAAACCAGUAAUCAUCAUUAUAGAGUUCCCAUCUUCAAUAUCCAUACUAAGCUUAUACCUAUAAUCAUAGUGGUAUUAGUACAUUAAAGAAAAUAUGAAUACUAAUGAGUUUAUAUCUUUGUUCGGAAAACUACUUACAAUUCCAUUGUUUCUGCCACCACUUUUUUACAUUUUUUGCAGUAAUAUUCUUCUUCAUCUGUUAUUUUUAAUUUUCCGCGACAUUUUUUGCAUGCCAAAUAAUGCCAUUCCGUCUUGUUGAAUACUUUAUUAAUUUUUGCCGAGCAUUUGAAAACAUCCUUCUAUAGAAAAACAAUAAAAAGUAGUUAUAUUAAAUGUGAAUGAAGAGUUGUAUUAAGUUAACCUUCAAUAGUUCGGUAAGAAUUGUACAAACCUCAAGCUUUUCACCUUCGUCAACCAUGUCAAAUAUUUGUGAUAUUGUUCGGAUGUUGUCAUUGUUGGUAGUAGCUAUACUUUCCAUUCUGAGCAUGAAAUCUUUUAUUUCUGGUAUUUCUUGGUCUAAGAGUAUUCUUGUAGCAUAUGUUGAUUGUACAUGGCAUCCUACACACAGUUGGUUUUUGUUAUUUUUUUUUUUUUAAAGUAAUAUUCACUUUCAAAAAUUAUGUAAUUCAUAGUGUAUGUUACCAUUAAAUUUAUUCCCUGUUGUAGAAGUAAUGAUGAUUACUAUUUUUUCUCCCCUUUCUGUUGCUUCGAUUGCUUCAUUAAUAUCAUCGCCUAGUUUUCCCCAUAGCUUCACUUUUAGUAUUUCAUUGCUGCAUAAAAAUUAUAAUUAAUAUAUUUUCAGAAGUAUAGUAAAUUGACAUAUCCAAAAUAUAUAUAUAUAUAUAUUUUGGAUAUGUCAAUUUAUGAGAACAUACCUGUCAUCUCUAAUUGUGAUUUCUCUUAUUUUUGUUUGCUUUUCUCUUGCAACUAUUGGUAGUGCAUCUUCCCAGUAAUCAAGUCGACCAAUGACAUCUACAAUAAAUAUAUUUAGUUUAUAUGAAUAUAUGACAUAAUGGUUUAUCCAAAUUAUUUGAAAAGAAUAUUUCUUACCAAUGUAUAUUUCUUUGUUUUGUUCUUCACAGUAGAAAGGAACAUCCGAAAAUUCUGUAAACUCGAAGUUGAACCUUGGAAUCUUAUUGUUUCCGUUCUCUACUAUUUCCAGGUUAGUAUAUUGUUGGAUGUAUAUGAUCCUUUUUUGAUUUGUCACUUGAGGGCCUCUUGCAAUUACCCAAGUCUUGAACCUGUUCAUUGUUAUUAUCUUGUCUGGAGUAAUCUUUUCUUCGAAAUCUUCAAUGUCUCCAGAAUUAACCUUUGCAUGGAUUUUAUCACCCUAUGUUUAUAAAAUACAAUAUAAGUGCGAUAUCGUAUUUAUGAUUCAUAAAAAGGAAUAUAAAAUAUUAUUUUAUGUUUACUUACAUGUUCAUCAAUGAGUAUCAUGUCGAGGUUUGUUGUCUUUUUUGUCUUUUCAUUAACUUGUUUCCACACCCACAUUAUUCUAGCAGUAAUCCUCCAGUUGAAAUUCUGCCCUUUGAUUUCACGUAGCCGAAUAUCUAUUAGCCUAUCCAUAGUCUCCUGCAUUGUAGGAUAAAUAUGUUUUGAUAAAUAUGUUUUGAUAAGUAUGAUAUUGUAUUUUUUCUUUAGAUUACAUAUUUCAGGGGUAUGGCUUUGCUUUGUCCAUUGGCUGGUAUAAAAUUUAAUAGAUAUUUGAAGAGAUAAAUUUCAGUGAACAAUACAUACAAUAUAGAAGUGUAAAUUAGCGAAAAAAAUUACUUUUUUUGUCAGUAUAGCAGACUGCCAGAAAACGGUUUUUAUCAGUAUAAAAUAAGUCUGUAUAAAUUUUAAAGUUUUUGGAUUUGAAUGCUUUAUAUUUUCCAAAUAAACAGGUAUGUGUUACUAUGUAAUCUGGAUGACCAGUAAAUUUGCAGACGUGGUAUUCAGAUUAAAACAGUGAGCAGUAAAUUAGUAGAUUUGUGGAAAAGUGUUGAAUCUAGACAUGUGAUAACGUAAGUAUAACAACAAAAGGUAAUUGAAGCUAUAUAAUUGAAACUAUAAAUUGAACAUCAAGACCAUGUACCUGUGUAAAAGUUGAACUUUUGCUGUGUAUUUGCUGAGUACUUGAUUAAUUCCUUGAGAGAGUUUUGUAGAGUUGUAAGGAUGGAAUUUGUGGAAGAGAUAUACCCUUUAUAUAGAGAUUUGUAAAUAAGUGUUUACUUGUUUUUAGAAAUCGAUGUAAAUUGGAAAUUGAAAGCAAAUAGAAUUCUAUUUCAAUGAGUUCAUCAAGGAGUACCAUGUCUAGGAAUUAUAAACCAAAUAGGAUUCUAUUUCAAUUUGUAUUCUGUAGGUUAUUGAAAAAGAAGUAUUUAUUGGAUCGGGCUUCUAUUAUUUUUUAUUUUAUUUUGUUUCCUAUGGACUUGGAUCUACUUUGUUUAGUUGAUCCAUAAAUAUGGGAGUGUCAUUGAUUAUUGCUUUUGAAGGGAUGGACACCUGAGUUGUUUCUCAACUUGGCUUGAUGACAUGAUUUUUGAUGUGUGUACUGAAGUUUUCGUUGUAGUUUUGUAAUUUAAUGUUUUUUUAUAAUUUAAUAUUGAUACAGAUGUAAUAUCAAUGGGAAUUGGAAUCCGAGAAAGCUUGUUAUGAGAAGGAUAUCAUCGUUGUCAAGGCUGAAAUGGAGAAAGCUAAGAAGGACAACUAUACUAUCAUUGAUGAUUUGCGCAACCUCUUUGCUGAUGAGAAGAAAGAGCAAUCGGAGCAACUGCUUAAGGAGUUCGAUGUUGAGAAGGAAACUGCUCUGGACAAGCUUGAUUGAGAAAUGAGCACUCAGUAUAUUAAACACACUAUCAAAUCUGAAGGCGACUAUUAUGAUAUGUGAGAAUAAAAAGCAUAUGUUCGCAGUGUUGCUGUGCUAAGUGCUUAAUUUUGUUCUUGCAGUGAGUCUGAGAGAAAACUGCUUGUUUUCAUUUUCUACUUGUGAUCAUGUGUGUUCAAAUGCUUCGACAGUGUAAUAAAACAGUCGCU